UUCCAGACUCCUACGGGAGGCAGCAGUGGGGAAUAUUGCACAAUGGGGGAAACCCUGAUGCAGCGACGCCGCGUGAGUGAAGAAGUAUUUCGGUAUGUAAAGCUCUAUCAGCAGGGAAGAAAAUGACGGUACCUGACCAAGAAGCCCCGGCUAACUACGUGCCAGCAGCCGCGGUAAUACGUAGGGGGCAAGCGUUAUCCGGAUUUACUGGGUGUAAAGGGAGCGUAGACGGUUGUGCAAGUCAGAAGUGAAAGGCCGGGGCUCAACUCCGGGACUGCUUUUGAAACUGUGAAACUGGAGUGCAGGAGAGGUAAGCGGAAUUCCUGGUGUAGCGGUGAAAUGCGUAGAUAUCAGGAGGAACACCAGUGGCGAAGGCGGCUUACUGGACUGUAACUGACGUUGAGGCUCGAAAGCGUGGGGAGCAAACAGGAUUAGAUACCCCAGUAC
rnacentral:rRNA from 1 species